GUCCAGCUGACGUGUCCCAAAUAGGACGAAACGCGCAUUCUGGAU
rfam:Schistosoma curassoni strain Dakar, Senegal genome assembly, scaffold: SCTD_scaffold0004397